UGGCUGCAGACAUUCUGUUUGUCAAGCCGCCUUGAAUAUGUUUAGAGGAGAAGUUUAUGGUUAUGCUCACUAUCUACAUUUAAAUUUUGUUCAUCCAAACAAUGUUAGGUUCUUGUGGGAGGAUGUGAUAUGUAAGUACUGGCCAUGGGCUAAGCGAGUCACUUCAGAGCAGAACAAGAGGGCAUUAACUGAUACAAAACCAGCCUUGUCACUCAUGCAUGGAAAAUCGCACAGUUGGAACUGUCAGGUUAUUUGGAGUGGAAGAUGGCAAGAAGGUGCUGCUGCAACUCCUGGGGAGGAAGUUGAACAAAUCAACAGCUAUCUCUCCAGACUUGGAUCCACCACCAAGAAUAUGAUAGCAUCAGGUCGCGAGGAUUGCAUCACUGAGCAUCUAUUGAGUUGGAAUAAGCGAAAAAUCUCUAAUCUACCUAAGCUGUUGGUUCUUCGCCUGAAAAAGACGGAAAAGAAACUGGACGAGGCGAAAACGGAACUUGCUACACGUAUGUGCGUGAGAUUAAUUUAUCAGACGCUGAUUUGGAUCCCUCAGUUGUGUCAUGGAAAAGAGAUGUUCAGCAGUUUGCUACUGAACAAAAAGCAGGAAAAAAUGUUGACGUUGGGGAUUUAGGAGAAUUCUACCUUUUACAUCAUGUGGUACAAAAUGCUCAACAACUAAAUACGUUUGUAAGUAGGAACGAUGACCAGACGCAGAUUUUAAUCGGGGAUAAAAAAUUUCACCAACUUGCUGCAGAUAAAACAAAGCAGUUGAAUAAGAACAUGGAAAGAUUGCGUGUUUUGUCGUCCGAGCUUUUGAAUUCCACCGUAACAGAGGAGGAGCUUCUUGCUCGGGGGAAGGUUGAACUUGCGAAAGUAACAUUGUCCAGGUUGCAGAGAAAAUUGGAGAUGCUGUACUUUUCCAUUACGAGGCGGAUGAAGGAGAUUUCGUCGCUUGCUGAUUCUAGUAAAAGGAGAUCAUCUAUGCGAGCAAAAUGCUGAAGGGAAAAAACAGAAAUAGCGUCCACAGUAGAAGAGUUGAAUUCAGUUAACAGCCUUCUGAAACUGCCUGCGACAAGUGCUGAGGCUAUUCUUGCGGGAGAUUUUCUUUGGUCGUUUAGUGAGGAACCAACAACUACGAAAAGUCUUCCUGUACGAUACAAGGCACAGGUAGUAGAAAAGUUCAUGCUGGUUCAAAGGCUAAAAGAAGAAGAAGACCAAAUAAGAAAAGAAAUGAAGAACUUCCUCGUGUUCUAUUUAAAGAAUAUUUUGGACAACCUUCAUCAAAGAAAAGCAGACAUUAAUGAGCGAAUAGAACUUAUUGGCUGAUAGGAAGUGUUAUUCCUUGCGUUGCGAAAGAAUCGAGACAUUACAGGGUCAACUUGCUAUUACUAACAAAGGAAUAGCUUUUGCCAAAAGCCAGAUUGCAGUUGGUUUGAAAUAUUUUCGACAUCUAGGUACUUCUCUGGCAAGCCUGGAAGAAAUUGAUGAGA